UGGAACAGAACCUCUUUGCCAGGCUGCUUCAG
rnacentral:piRNA from 1 species